CCUACGGGCGGUAGCAGUGAGGAAUAUUGGUCAAUGGGCGGGAGCCUGAACCAGCCAAGUCGCGUGAGGGAAGACGGUCCUAUGGAUUGUAAACCUCUUUAGGCGGGGAGCAAUGCCGGGCACGCGUGCCCGGAGGGAGAGUACCCGCAGAAUAAGCAUCGGCUAACUCCGUGCCAGCAGCCGCGGUAAUACGGAGGAUGCGAGCGUUAUCCGGAUUUAGUGGGUUUAAAGGGUGCGUAGGCGGAUUUUUAAGUCAGCGGUAAAAUGUCCGGGCUCAACCCGGGCCGGCCGUUGAAACUGGGGAUCUUGAGUGGGCGAGAAGUAUGCGGAAUGCGUGGUGUAGCGGUGAAAUGCAUAGAUAUCACGCAGAACUCCGAUUGCGAAGGCAGCAUACCGGCGCCCGACUGACGCUGAGGCACGAAAGCGUGGGGAUCGAACAGGAUUAGAUACCCCAGUAGUC
rnacentral:rRNA from 1 species